rnacentral:tRNA from 1 species
GCCCCUGUAGCGCAGUGGCAGCGCGUCGGUCUCCUAAACCGAAGGCCGUGGGUUCGAUCCCCACCUGGGGUG